CCUACGGGUGGCAGCAGUGAGGAAUAUUGGUCAAUGGUCGGGAGACUGAACCAGCCAAGCCGCGUGAGGGAGGAAGGUACAGAGUAUCGUAAACCUCUUUUGUCAGGGAACAAAGGCGGGGACGUGUCUCCGGAUGAGAGUAUCGGAAGAAAAAGCAUCGGCUAACUCCGUGCCAGCAGCCGCGGUAAUACGGAGGAUGCAAGCGUUAUCCGGAUUUAUUGGGUUUAAAGGGUGCGGAGGCGGUCGGAUAAGUCAGGGGUCAAAUCCCGGGGCUCAACCUCGGCCCCGCCGUUGAUACUGGCCGGCUAGAGAGGGAGAGCAGUAUGCGGAAUGCGCGGUGUAGCGGUGAAAUGCAUAGAUAUCGCGCAGAACUCCGAUUGCGAAGGCAGCAUGCCGGCUCCCCACUGACGUUGAGGCACGAAAGUGUGGGUAUCGAACAGGAUUAGAUACCCGAGUAGUC
rnacentral:rRNA from 1 species